rnacentral:rRNA from 1 species
GACGAACGCUGGCGGCGUGCUUAACACAUGCAAGUCGAACGGAAAGGCCCUGCUUGCAGGGUACUCGAGUGGCGAACGGGUGAGUAACACGUGGGUGAUCUGCCCUGCACUUCGGGAUAAGUCUGGGAAACUGGGUCUAAUACCGGAUAGGAGCCAUUUUUAGUGUGAUGGUUGGAAAGUUUUUUCGGUGUAGGAUGAGCUCGCGGCCUAUCAGCUUGUUGGUGGGGUAAUGGCCUACCAAGGCGGCGACGGGUAGCCGGCCUGAGAGGGUGGACGGGCACAUUGAGACUGAGAUACAGCCCAGACUCCUACGGGAGGCAGCAGUGGGGAAUAUUGCACAAUGAGCGCAAGCCUGAUGCAGCGACGCCGCGUGGGGGAUGACGGCCUUCGGGUUGUAAACUCCUUUCGCUAGGGACGAAGCUUUUUGUGACGGUACCUAGAGAAGAAGCACCGGCUAACUACGUG